rnacentral:rRNA from 1 species
UACGUAGGGGGCCAGCGUUGUCCGGAAUCAUUGGGCGUAAAGCGCGCGUAGGCGGCCAGAUAAGUCCGGUGUGAAAGUCAAAGGCUCAACCUUUGAAUGCCGCUGGAAACUGCCUGGCUUGAGUCCGGAAGGGGCGAGUGGAAUUCCUGGUGUAGCGGUGAAAUGCGCAGAUAUCAGGAGGAACACCGGUGGCGAAGGCGGGUCUCUGGGCCGAUACUGACGCUGAGGAGCGAAAGCGUGGGGAGCGAACAGG